rnacentral:rRNA from 1 species
AACGAACGCUGGCGGCAUGCCUAACACAUGCAAGUCGAACGGGAUCCUGGCUUCGGUCAGGUGAGAGUGGCGGACGGGUGAGUAACGCGUGGGAACCUGCCCAGUGGUGGGGGGAUAACUGCGGGAAACUGCAGCUAAUACCGCAUGAGCCCGAGAGGGGAAAGAUUUAUCGCCAUUGGAGGGGCCCGCGUUCGAUUAGGGUAGUUGGUGAGGUAACGGCUCACCAAGCCGACGAUCGAUAGCUGGUCUGAGAGGAUGAUCAGCCACACUGGGACUGAGAUACGGCCCAGACUCCUACGGGAGGCAGCAGUGGGGGAGUAUUGACAAUGGGGGGCAACCCUGGAUACCAGCAAUGCCGCGUGAGUGAUGAAGGCCUUCGGGUU